CUACUCUCCAAACUGGCAUAUGAAAGGAGCGCCAAGGUACCUGAUUGGAGCGCACAGGUAGUUUACCUGCACGCAAAUGGCUGUCUUCCGGCAUGUAUUCAGAGGCACUACAGCGGAUACCUCUGCCUUUUUAUCUUGACUGAUCCACUCAUAGCCAACUGGAUUAGACUGGAGAUCAUACCAGACCAGGAGUAUGGGAACUGGGUGAAGAUGUUAUCAGAGGACCUGAGCCCUAGGACCAUGCCUCAGGGGUAUCUGGCCUGAUGACUCCUUGCUGUCCCCAGUCCACCUGGUCGUGCUGCUGCUCCAGUUUCAACUGUUCUGCCGCCUGCGGCUAUGGAACCCUGACCUGUUCACCGGACGUGCUACCGGUCCCAGACCUGCUGUUUUCAACUCUCUAGAGACAGCAGGAGCGGUAGAGAUACUCUUUAUGAUCGGCUAUGAAAAGCCAACUGACAUUUACUCCUGAGGAGAUGACCUGUUGUUUCUGUACAGCAUUUUGAGAUAUCAGCUGAUGUAAAGAAGGGCUAUAUAAAUACCCUAGAGGCACCAACUUCACCAACUUUAAAGACUUUUGGAGAUCAUUCGACAUGAGGGCCACAAUUGUUUUUAAGCAGAUGUAUCUAUUAUUUAUUUAUGAAAGAAUCUUCAGGGUUAGCCAUCCCCGAAUCCUUGUACUGUACGUCUGAAGGUUAACAAUAAGGUAAGGUAUGGCGGAAGAGAGUGUUAUACAAAAAAGAGUGCAAUCUACGAGGCCAGCCUACGUUCGUAUUUUUAGAGUUAGUUUCUUAAUUAACCCAUCAACAUGAUUUUUGAAAGAUAGCUUUUCGUCCAUCCAGAUACCCAUCUACAGGGCAUUCGGAAACUAUUCAGACCGCUUGACCCUUUCCACAUUUUGUUACAUUACUGUAAAAUGGAUUAAAUACAAAAAAACAUCAACAAUUUACUCACAAUACCCCAUAAUGACAAAGUGAAAACAGGUUUUCAAAUUGUUUGCUAAUUUGUUAAACAUUAAAACAUUAAAACCUUAUUAACAUAAGUAUUCAGACCCUUUGCUAUGUGAAUCGAAAUUGAGCUCAGGUGCAUCCUGUUUCCUUUGAUCAUCCUUGAGAUGUUUCUACAAUGUGAUUGGAGUCCACCUGUGGUAAAUUCAAUUGAUUGGACAUGAUUUGGAAAGGCACACACCUGUCUAUAUAAGGUCCUACAGUUGACAGUGCACGUCAGAGCAAAAACCAAGCGAUGAGUUUGAAGGAAUUGUCCGUGGAGCUCCGAGACAGGAUUGUGUCGAGGUACAGAUCUGGGGAAGGGUACCUUAAAAAUUAUGCAGCGUUGAAGGUCUCCAAGAACAUUGUGGCCUCCAUCACUCUUAAAUGGAAGAAGUUUGGAACAACCAAUACUGUUCCUAGAGCUGGCCGCCCGACCAAAUUGAGCAAUCGGGGGAGAAGGGUCUUGGUCAAGGAGGUAAUCAAGAACCCGAUGGUCACUCUGACAGAGCUCCAGAGUGGAGAUGGGAGAACGAUCCAGAAGCACAAGAUUCUCUGCAGCACUCCACCAAUCAGGCCUUUAUGGUAAAGUGAAGGGACGGAUGCCACUCCGCAUGACAGCUUACUUUGAGUCUGGCAAAAGGUGUCAAAAUGACUCUCAGACCAUGAGAAACAAGAGUCUCUGGUCUGAAGAAACCAAGAUUGAACUCUUUGGCCUGAAUGCCAAGCAUCACGUCUGGAGGAAAACUGGCACCAUCCCUACGAUGAAGCAUGGAAACCUGCUUCAGAGUGUUCAGGACCUCAGACUGGGGUAAAGGUUCACUUUCCAACAGAACAAUGACCCUAAGCACACAGCCAAGACAACGCAGCAGUGGCUUCGGGACAAGUCUCUGAAUGUCCUUGAGUGACCCAGCCAAAGCCUGGACUUGAACCUGACCAAACAUCUCUGGGGAGACUUGAAAAUAGCUGUGCAGCGAUGCUCCCCAUCCAACCUGACAGAGCUUGAGUGGAUCUGCAAAGAAGAACGAGGGGAAAAAAACAAAUACAGGUGUGCCAAUCUUGUAGCAUCAUACCCAAGAAGACUCGAGGCUGUGAUCGCUGCCAAAGGGGCUUUAACAAAGUACUGAGUAAAGGGUCUGAAUACUUAUGUAAAUGUGAUAUUUCCAGUUUUUGUAUUUAUAUACAUUUGCAAAAAUGUAUAAAAACCUGUUUUUGCUUUGUCAUUAUGGGGUCUUGUGUGUAAUUGAUAAAACAACUGAAUCAAUUUUAGAAUAAGGCUGUAGCGUAAUACAAUUUGGAAAAUAACAAACAUUAUAUAUACAAAAGUAUGUGGAAACCCUUCAAAUGAGUGGAUUUGACUAUUUCAGCCAAACCCGUUUCUGACAGGUGUAUAAAAUCGAGCACACAGCCAUGCAAUCUCCAUAGGUAAGCAUUGGCAGUGGAAUGGCCCUACCGAAGAGCUCAGUAACUUUCAAUGAAGUCAGGUCAUCAAAGGGCUACCCCGGUCAACCAUGAGUGCUGUUACUGUGAAGUGAAAACAUCUAGGAGUAACAACGACUCAGCCACAAAGUGGUAGGCCACACAAGCUCACAGAACGGGAACAAGUGCUGAAGCACAUAGCGCUUAAAAAGCAUCUGUCCUUGGUUGCAACACUCACUACCGAGUUCCAAAUUGCCUCUGGAAGCAACGUCAGCUCAAUAACUGUUCGUUGGGAGCUUCAUGAAAUGGGUUUCCAUGUCUGAACAGCCGCGCACAAGCCUAAGAUCAACAUUUGCAAUGCCAAGAGUCGGCUGGAGUGGCGUAAAGCUUGCCACCACUGGACUCUGGAGCAGUGGAAACGCGUUAUCUGGAUUGAUGAAUAUAGACCUUCGCCAUCUGGCAAUCCGGCAGAUUAAUCUUGGUUUGAUGGAUGCCAGGAAAACGCUACCUGCCCGAAUGCAUAGUGCAAACUGUAAAGUUGGUGGAUGUUGAAUAAUGGUCUGGGGCUGUUUUUCAUGUUUCAGGCUCCUUAGUUCCAGUGAAGAGAAAUAUUAACGCUACAGCAUACAAUGCCAUUCUAGACUAUUCUGUGUUUCCAACUUUGUGGUAACAGUUUGGUGAAGGCCCUUCCCUGUUUCAGCAUGACAAUGCCCCCGUGCACAAAGCGAGGUCCAUACAGAAAUGGUUUGUCGAGAUCGGUGUUGAAGAACUUGACUGGCCUGCACAGAGCCCUGACCUCAACCCCAUCACACACAUUUGGGAUGAAUUGAAACACCAACUGCGAGCCAGAACUAAUCGCCCAACUUCAGUGCCCGACCUCUUGUGGCUGAAUGGAAGCAAGUCCCUGUAGCAAUGUUCCAACAUCUAGUGGAAAGCCUUCGCAUAAGAGUGGAGGCUGUUAUAACAGCAAAGGGGGGACCAACUCCAUAUUAAUGUGCAUGAUUUUGGAAUGAGAUUUUCGACGAGCGGGUGUCCACAUACUUUUGGUCAUGUAGUGUACUUGGUUUUUACCUGCAUUAAGUACCAAUUUCAGUUCAACAAAGGCUUUCUGCAGGGAAAUAAAGGCAAAUUGAAGCUCUGACAGAAAUGUGUCAGCUGUGGAAGCAAUAGCAUACACCACAGUGUCGUCCGCAUACAAGUUAAAGUUAUAAUUGUGUACAGAUAAACUAAUAUUGUUCAUGUAAAUAGUGAAAAGAACCGGACCAUGAAUCGAUCCCAGUGAUAAACCUUUUGUUAUGUCCAGAAAACCUGAUUUAACACCAUCAGUAAAUGUUUAUUUCAACUCAUCCACAAUUGAUAUAGACUAUAUUUUAUAUAUAUUUGUCUUACAGGCCUUUCUGUUGUCACUUUCAGGUUUCCCCAAGAGAUAACAGGUACAGGUAGACAUAUAUAGACUGAGAUACAAGUCAAAUGACCGUAAACUCACUCCUUCCUUCCCCAGAGGAGAUGUACAACUGUACAAUCAAUGAGAGAGAGACCAAAACAUCUGGUGCCUUCCUUGUGGAAUUAGUUCAAAUCUUCGCAGCCUCUUGAUUAUUUAAACAUUAUUUGAGCCAAAUUACGGACCCUUAUUCCACAGCGGAAAGAACACUGGAACGCCUCUGAAAAAAGACAGAAAGAAAGAAAAAAAAAGCUGUGCCUCGGGGGAAGAGUUUGUUUUUUCUUAAGAAUUCAUCAUCAGACGUCACGUUGUUCCAAGUACUCUUCGACAGGGCCCUGACUUUUCGCUUUGAUGUGGAAAGCCUGAAGGGAUAAUAAGUCAAACCUAUGGGACUGGGUGGCGACUGUGUACACUGUCUCCCACACUAUUUUGUUAUUGUUAAUGUAAUAUACCCUUUUUUAAACUUUGUGAUCUGAAAGUUCACAAGCCUUAAUAUCUAAAUGGUCUUCUGCUGCAACAGGGUGCUGGAAAGAUCAUUACAAAUCAAAUAACAUGAAAGGAAAUAGUUGUUGUAAAUUGUAUUAAAUUCAGAUUAAUAAUGAUUAAUUACAGUUAUUACACAGAGACAAAGCAGGAGAUACGAGUUAAACACAUAACAUUACUUUACCAUGUCACAUAUGGUCAUGGUGAGGUAUUGUUAAGGUUUCACCUCGCUGACUCUGCUAUCUGAGUCGUUUCAGAGUGUGAACAACCUAGUAGUAGUCUGCGUGUGGUUGAGGCCACAUAUCACUUAUAUGCUGGCCUUUCCUUUGUAUUGUUUACAAAACAGUUGGACUCACACGGAGCUGGCGUCUUUCUGCAGGGAUUUCUUUCUAAAUUGCCCUGUAGUGCUUGUAACGUGGGAAAGGUCUGUCCUCUCCCAUCCUUGUUUUUUGAUGAGUUCCAGCCUGAUGUCAAGAUGAGAGCCAGCGAGCGUGCAGCAGUGGUACAUUCGCUUGUGUUUAUACAUGUUUAUUGCCUGUUCUCUUUGUAACUCUGUAUUUACUACGGAAAAAUGUGCAUAGUAUCUAUGCCCCGAAUGUGCAAAGUU